rnacentral:rRNA from 1 species
UACGGAGGGUGCGAGCGUUGUUCGGAAUCACUGGGCGUAAAGGGCGUGUAGGCGGUCCGUUAAGUCUGAUGUGAAAGCCCGGGGCUCACCCCCGGAAGGGCAUUGGAAACUGGCGGACUCGAGUCCCGGAGAGGAGAGUGGAAUUCCUGGUGUAGCGGUGAAAUGCGUAGAUAUCAGGAGGAACACCGGUGGCGAAGGCGGCUCUCUGGACGGUGACUGACGCUAAGACGCGAAAGCGUGGGGAGCAAACAGG